UACCAGCACCCCGAGUGGUCGGGACGAUUAUUGGGCCUAAAGCAUCCGUAGCCGGUUCUACAAGUCUUCCGUUAAAUCCACCUGCUUAACAGAUGGGCUGCGGAGGAUACUAUAGAGCUAGGAGGCGGGAGAGGCAAGCGGUACUUAGUGGGUAGGGGUAAAAUCCGUUGAUCCAUUGAAGACCACCAGUGGCGAAGGCGGCUUGCCAGAACGCACUCGACGGUGAGGGAUGAAAGCUUGGGGAGCAAACCGG
rnacentral:rRNA from 1 species